rnacentral:rRNA from 1 species
UGAGGAAUAUUGGUCAAUGGGCGCAAGCCUGAACCAGCCAUCCCGCGUGAAGGAUGAAGGCCCUAUGGGUCGUAAACUUCUUUUAUAUGCCAAGAAAGGUGCCCACGUGUGGGUAUUUGACGGUAGUAUAUGAAUAAGCAUCGGCUAACUCCGUGCCAGCAGCCGCGGUAAUACGGAGGAUGCGAGCGUUAUCCGGAUUCAUUGGGUUUAAAGGGUGCGUAGGCGGUUCUUUAAGUCAGUGGUGAAAUCCUGCGGCUCAACCGUAGAACAGCCAUUGAUACUGAAGGACUUGAAUAUAAUUGAGGUAAGCGGAAUGAGUAGUGUAGCGGUGAAAUGCUUAGAUAUUACUCAGAACACCAAUUGCGAAGGCAGCUUACCAAGCUAUAAUUGACGCUGAGGC